CCAUCAACAUUACCUUUAUUCAACAUGCUGUCACUGCAGUAUUGUGUCUUUUCUCUGCUGUUUCUUUACAUUCUAACAGGUGUCAGCUGUGAAGAACUCACUCCAGUCAAGAAUGAAGAGUACAGUUUACAAGGCAGCACUGUUACUCUGUCCUACAGAUACUCCAAACAAGCAGCUGGUGGUGAUUAUUUCUACUGGUAUCGACAAUAUCCAGGAAAACCACCAGAGUUCCUCAUCUCUCACAUUGGAACAAAAAAUGCAACAAACUCCAGACUGUCUGUUACAGUGAGUGAGGAUAAAACCCAAAUGAACCUGCAGAUCUCCUCUGCUGCAGUGACAGACUCUGCUGUGUACUACUGUGCUGUGAGGCCCACAGUGACAGCAAAGCCACAGUCUCUGUACAAAAACACAAGCUGACACACUGACAAGCUGCUGGAAGCCUUUUUUCCACACUGUUGGACUCAACUUUUUACCUCCACUAGAGGGCCACAUUAUCAAGUAGGCGCUGCACUACUUCUGCACUGUGUUCAACCAUUCAGUCAAUAAGAAGUGCUGCUGUGAAGAGAACAAUUCUCACACUGAAUGUUGAACAUCAGCUAGUUUCUCCUGUUGAUUUAAACCUUGUU